rnacentral:rRNA from 1 species
GACGAACGCUGGCGGCGUGCCUAAUACAUGCAAGUCGAGCGGACGGAUGGGAGCUUGCUCCCAGACCGUCAGCGGCGGACGGGUGAGUAACACGUGGGCAACCUGCCUGUAAGACUGGGAUAACUCCGGGAAACCGGGGCUAAUACCGGAUAACUCUUUCCCUCACAUGAGGGAAAGCUGAAAGAUGGCAUCUCGCUAUCACUUACAGAUGGGCCCGCGGCGCAUUAGCUAGUUGGUGAGGUAACGGCUCACCAAGGCGAUGAUGCGUAGCCGACCUGAGAGGGUGAUCGGCCACACUGGGACUGAGACACGGCCCAGACUCCUACGGGAGGCAGCAGUAGGGAAUCUUCCGCAAUGGACGAAAGUCUGACGGAGCAACGCCGCGUGAGUGAUGAAGGUUUUCGGAUCGUAAAACUCUGUUGUCAGGGAAGAACAAGUACCGGAGUAACUGCCGGUACCUUGACGGUACCUGACCAGAAAGCCACGGCUAACUACGUG